GGGAGGCUUCAGAAAGAAACCUUUUAACAAAAAAGAGAGGCAACAGUUUGCACAGUUCAGCUUCAGAAACCAUGUUUGCAGAGACUCCUAAUGAGGCUAAAUGGUUUAGCCCAAAGAACAGACAGUACGGUUCAAUUUAGAUUGCUGGCUUUCUUUUCAACACCACAGUUGUGUGGGACUUUGGGCAAUAAUAGUGAUCAUUGUUGAGGGUGGGCCAGGUGGGGUUUGGAAAGGCAGUGGGUUAUGAAAUUUUUUUCUUUUUUUGAGGUGGAGUCUCACACUGUCGCCUGGGCUGGAGUACAUUGGCGAUAUCUCAGCUCACUGCAACCUCUGCCUCUCAGUUUCAAGUGAUUCUCCUGCCUCAGCCUCCCCCAUGUACCUGGGAUUUCAGGUUUGCCCUCCAAUCAGUGGCCUGCCUUCAUUUUCCAGAUUGAUGAAGUCUGCCUCAGAGAAGGGGGUAGGUAACAAGACUGUGCCGAUGUGUCUAAUCAGCUGGAAAAGUUGUAAAAUGAAUCUUUCCUAUCUGGAAUUUAUAUUUAAUCAUAGUUAUGUUCUUUUUGUGAAUGUGUGUUGAUUAGUUAGUUGUCAGAAUAGGAAAACAAGAAGAGCUUUUAUUUAUACAGAUAAGUUAUGCUGGAGUAAUUAUUCAGGUCUGAUUGAGUUGAUGGAGAUUUUUACAUUACCUCAGCACACAGAGCCACUUAAUCUUAUUCAUAAUGUUAAUUAAAUACUCCAGGAGUUACUACCAUGCUCUCAUUUAUGGUGUUUACUAUUCAGGUUUGUUUAUAUAUGUGAUGACUUGUGGACCCCUCUUUUUCACUGGACCAUGCCCUUUUACAGUUGUAAAAUGCACCUCCACUCAUAGAAACUGAUCUUCAGCAGUUUAUUCACAGUGUUCCUGAUCCUAUCUAACUUGGGGAAGGAAACUCUCUUUGGUUUCAGAAUUGGUUAAGAUUAUGUCAUUGAACUGACUUUUAAUAGAUUUUUUUUUUUUUUUGGCUUAUGCCUA
rnacentral:lncRNA from 1 species